rnacentral:rRNA from 1 species
AGAGUUUGAUCUUGGCUCAGAACGAACGCUGGCGGCGUGCUUAACACAUGCAAGUCGAACGUGAAAGGCUUCGGCCGAGUAAAGUGACGCACGGGUGAGUAACGCGUGGGUAAUCUGCCCUCGGGCGGGGGAUAACGUUCCGAAAGGAGCGCUAAUACCGCAUGAGACCACGGUCUUUCGGGACAGUGGGAAAAGGUGGGUCGCAAGGCCUGCCACCUGAGGAUGAGCCCGCGUACCAUUAGGUAGUUGGAGGGGUAAUGGCCCACCAAGCCUGAGAUGGUUAGCUGGUCUGAGAGGACGAUCAGCCACACUGGGACUGAGACACGGCCCAGACUCCUACGGGAGGCAGCAGUGGGGAAUAUUGCGCAAUGGGGGAAACCCUGACGCAGCAACGCCGCGUGUGUGAAGAAGGCCUUCGGGUCGUAAAGCACUGUUGGGAGGAACGAGCCGCUCAUGUGACCCAUGAGCCCGACGGUACCUCCUGAGGAAGCACCGGCUAACUCCGUGCCAGCAGCCGCGGUAAUACGGAGGGUGCAAGCGUUGUUCGGAAUUAUUGGGCGUAAAGCGCGCGCAGGCGGCUUUUUAAGUCUGAUGUGAAAACCCUCGGCUCAACCGAGGACGUGCAUUGGAUACUGGAAGGCUUGAGUCUCGGAGAGGAAAGCGGAAUUCCCAGUGUAGAGGUGAAAUUCGUAGAUAUUGGGAGGAACACCGGUGGCGAAGGCGGCUUUCUGGACGAUGACUGACGCUGAGGCGCGAAAGCGUGGGUAGCAAACAGGAUUAGAUACCCUGGUAGUCC